CACAAAAACGUCUGAGUAGGAUAUGCUCAUGAUGCUCAAGAGUCAUGAUAUUUUUGAUACUGGGUCCACAUGUGACUGCCAUGACUCCAUGCACUUUUGGCCUCUUCUGGACCUCUAACAUACCUGUGUUUAAACUACAUUUAGGCAGAGCAGAUUGCCUCAAAGCAGUCCACCUAAUUAAGGCAAGUGAUUCACUAUUUGGCAGAUGACUUGGGAUAAGGAUAUUAACAGUGGGGUCCAUGAAGCGAUGCUCGUCCUUGUUGAGUUACCAGGAAAGAAUUCAAUACUGGACUAUUAACUAAGGUUCAAAUCUUUACCUUGGACAUCACUGUGACUUUGGCCAAGUCACAGUGAGCUUCAGAGGAAGGAAAGGCAAACUCUUCAAAACACACCUUGCCACGAAAACAUGGCAUGUUCACCUGCUUAAGGGAUGAUUUAAAGUCGCACAACGUAGCACACACAUGGCAUGACUGCCCUGAAGAUGCUAGGUCUGCAAUUGCUGUGGUUGUGUUGCUGCUUUUUAUGGCUGUGUAAAUCAGGAUGACUUGUAAACCUGUCCUGUUGCUGAGGGUAGUCAAACCCCCUUCCUAGUUUCCCCCCUUGCUGGGGAAGCCCUCUGUGCUGAUGGAAGCAGCGGAGAAGCCAGUGAACGCAUCCUGGAGUUUUCCCUGGCCCAAACCGGCUCUCCGGUUGCAGAGCAAUGGGCAGCGGGGUUUCAGAAGCUCCGCUGAAUCCAAAGGAUCUUGGACUUGGAAGUGUCCCUUGGGCCCAUCACCCUGCCGAGGAGGUCCGUUCAGGAGAUCAAGCAAUGGAGACAGAUGGAGAUUCUUGCAAUGCUCAUGAUACUGGAGGAGGAGGAGAGCCCACGGCUCCGGCGUUGGUCUCCACGGAGCUGCAAGAAGAGACAAAAGGAAACAACAAAGAGACAGGAGAAGGUGAGACAAAAGGUGUCCCAGGUGAGACAAAAGCAGAGGAAGAAAGUCAGAAACACCCUGAGGCAUCAAGCCUGACUGCGGCUGGAGGAGGAGAAGCAACUCCAGGAGACGCAAAGGCAACGGAGGUGAACCAAAACCACCCUGAGUCUGGAGCAGAAGGAAACACGGGAGAUGCAAAGGCAAUGGAGGAGAACAAAGGUCUUACUAAGGAAACAAGCCAGACUGUGGAUGGAGGAGGAAGCCAAGGAGAUGCAAAGGCCGUGGAGGAGAACCAAAGCCAUCCUGUGGAAUCAAGCCAGAUAGUGACUGAAGGAACCCAAGGAGAUGUAAAAGCAACAGAGGAGAACCAAAGCCACCUUGAAGGCAGCCAACAGAAGCACCUGCACCUUCAGCCGAGCUUCAGCUGCCCAGCUACUAUGCACAGCUUGGAAGAUAUUCCCGAGGAGGCUUUGGGCACCCAAGGGGAGCAGAAGCCAAAAGAAGAACCGAAGGCUGGAGAAUCCAAGGACGUGGAGGCUCUUGUCCUGCCGCAGGAUCCGGCUGGAGGGCAACCACUUCCAGCCAAAACGGAGGCAGAAAGGACCUUGGCCCGAGAGCCUGACGCUGCCCCAGAGAAUGCUGUGGCCGAGAUCCCAGUUGGACAGGUUCCUUCCGAAAACAAGGCGGACGUGGCCACCCCGGCAGAGGUCGGCGCUCCUCCCAUCAUGCCAGCCUCUCCAACCGGACCCUACCUCACGGCGGACUUUGGCAAAGAGGACCCGACUAUGAUCUUGGGUAAGGCCACCGAGGCCUCGGGCAUCCUCGGUCUGCAGCCACUUUGGCCGGAGCAAGUGGGAGAAGUGGGA
rnacentral:lncRNA from 11 species